rnacentral:lncRNA from 1 species
AACAGAAACAGAAACGAACUAAUUCCUGUCACAAACCAAAACCGCGGGAAACACACCGACCAUACAAGGGAAAACGAAAAAAAAUAAUAACUGCCAUUUUUCUGGCUUGGUACAGGACAUUUUGAGGAACAAUUGUGAACCUGUAUAAAUGACAAGCAAAAUCUCCAGCUCUAAUGGCAAUGUUAAAAUACCCUUAAAAUGACAACAUUACGUGACAGAAAUACUGUUUUGAUCUGAUCUUCACUGAUGAGUCGUAUGUAGACUAAACGCGCGUCUGGCGUAUUAAAUUAUAAUCCUGGUACCUUUGAUAACUAUAUACAAAACAAAUAAAUGCAAAAUUAAUCAGG